AAGGCCUUAGCUUAAUUAAAGCGUCCGGUUUGCACUUGGAGGAUACGGGUUAAUGUCCUGUAGGUCUUA
rnacentral:tRNA from 1 species